UUUUAGUUGUGUAGCUAGCAUGGGUAAGGAAAACAAGCACACCCAACAACACGAGGCAGGAAGAAGAGGAAAUAUUGAAUGUCACUAGUGAAAAUAAGUUAUGUUUGUUUAUGUUUUUUUAAGAACAAAGCUGGCAGACAGUGUGAGCAAUGGAGUUCACGCAGCAGUAUUCACAACUUGGAUUAAUUUGAUGGAAACCCGUCAUUAUUCUUUGGACUGGUGGACACUUAUUGACUAAGGGAAUAAACAACCAGGAAUUGACACAUAUUCGCACUUUAUGACCGCUUCAAAGAAGCGGUCAGACUCAUAUUAAUCCAACGUCUGUGUGUUGUAUGGAGCUGGAGUCAGGACAGCUUUACCAUGAAGACUUGGAAGCAGAAAGAGGAGGAUGAUCUGUGUUGGCAGCCAGUAGUUGUGGACUCAGAUUAAACAUGGAGAGGGAUUCAGUCUGAGGGAAGUUGAACGCACCUGAAAGUGCACAAGGCUAAAUUCAGAAGUAGACAACUUGGUCGACGGCGAGGAGAAGGAGGGAGCGAUGGCGAGGGAUGAGAAAAACAGAGGGAGGCUGGAGCUGUGCUGAAACACAACGGGAGCAUCCAUCCUUUAACCGGGGAAUCCAGAAGCGAUAUAAGGCCAGAUGGGAUAUAUAAUCCCUCCAGCAUCUUCUAGUUCUGUCCUCUUCCAGUUGGUCAUAGCUCGAAUACCUCCGAGGCGACACACCCAGGAGGCAUCAAGAUGACCAAAUCCACCUCUACUGGCUGCUUUCAAGAGAACUUGAGUGAAUGCCGAAUCAAAGAGGCAACUUUCAACUCCUAUCAGAUGUCUGCUGGGAGAGGAGGAGGAGGAGGCGG